rnacentral:lncRNA from 1 species
GAGUGCACUUUAGCCAUAGCAAGAGCAAGAUCAGAGAGAAAUAAGGACUUAUGACCAUUAGACCAGGAGACAGGAAGCGAUGGUUCUGGAAGGGGCUCUGUUACUAACUUUGGAAUUCAACUGUCCAGAUAGAAAGGUGGACAUGGAAAAAUUGGGCUUUGCAAAUGGUCACCCAAUUCUUGCCUUCCUGGUCUCCAGAUCACCCUUCCUAUACCGCCACUCUGGAGAAAGAAGUACAGAACGCUAACAAGGAUGGCUUGGAGUUGCAGUGGUCACCUCAGAUCUUAAGGUCACUUUGGAGAUGGAACCCCUGUGACUAGGAAUGGCAGAACAGAAAGGUAGAAAGAGAUUGAGUCCUGGGGAUGUGGCAGAGCCACCAUCCUAGCCCCGUACUGCGUACUUCUGGACUUCCUUU